GUGUUUGGUAAAUUUUGUAGCCAGAUGCAUUCCUUUGUUUCGUUAAUGAUGUUAAAGUCAGUAAUACAGUUGACCAAAGGGCUCGUAAUAUUAUUCCUGGUGCAGAGGGUUUUCUAAGACAGAAGUUAUCUGGCCAAGGGCUUGCAUUUAUAAUUGCAGGUGGAUCUGUUGUACAGAAAAAUCUUGAGGUGGGCAGGGUACUAUCUGUUGAUGUUUCUUGUAUAGCAGUUGUGACUAGCUACAACAGUCAACGUCCAAAUCAAAUACAAUGGGCCCAUGAGAAGAGCAGUGUUUGAUAUAACUGAGAUCCUCAAGCUAGUAAGAAGGCUUUACAGACUCAUUCUAGAUUCUGCAAAAGAGAGGGAAAAUAUUGAUGGGCGCACCAUUUUCUGCGUUUGCUGGCAUAUAAUAUUCACAUGCAGCAGCUGCUCAUAUUUUUGUCAAUAAUCAUAUUAAUUUUUGAUGGUUUAUUGAUAUUGAUAAUGGCAUGGCACUAGAAUGCUAUCUUGUUUUGGAAUAAUUUGUAUCAGUUUUGGAUAUCCCAAGUAGAUGGGCAUGUAUUAGAAUACUUUUUUU